CCACCGCUAGCUGACAGCAGUGCGUCUUCACUGGCCACACCAAAGAAGAAGAAACCCGGAAAUGAACACCUUCGCAGUUCACUGUUGUACUAACAAAAAAAAAGCGGCUACGUUGAAGGAGAGAAACAUACUUUUCUUAAGUUAUUAGUAUUAUGGCUGGAACUGCCUCGGUUGCGGGUGAAGUGUUUGUUGAUGCGUUACCGUAUUUCGACCAAGGUUACGAUGCGACCGGUGUUCGAGAAGCGGCUUUAGCAUUAGUGGAGGAGGAAACCAGAAGAUACAGACCAACCAAGAACUACCUGAGCUACCUGACCACGCCCGACUUCUCCGCUUUCGAGACAGAGAUCAUGAAGAAUGAAUUUGAGCGCCUGUCUUCUCGGCAGCCCAUGGACCUCCUGAGCAUGAAGAGGUAUGAGCUGCCAGCGCCUUCUUCGGGUCAGAAGAACGACAUAACCGCUUGGCAGGAGUGCGUCAACAACUCCAUGGCCCAGCUGGAGCACCAGGCGGUUCGCAUCGAGAACUUAGAGCUCAUGUCGCAGUACGGAACCAACGCAUGGAAAGUCUACAACGAUAACCUGGCCUUCAUGAUCGAGACGGCUCAAAAGGAACUUCAAAAGUUCAGGAAGCAGAUUCAAGACUUGAAUUGGCAGCGUAAAAACGACCAGUUAGCCGGAGGAGCCAAACUACGAGAGCUGGAGUCCAACUGGGUGGCCCUGGUGAGCAAGAACUACGAGAUUGAGCGAGCCAUCGUCCAGCUGGAGAACGAGAUAGGCCAGCUGAAGCAGCAACAGGGGGACGAGAACAAGGAGAACAUCAGGCAGGACUUUUGACGUUAAGCAGUGUGGAGAACAUCAGAGCAGGUGAAGUGCAUGUUUUGACUCCAUGGUCCACAGGAAGAGACAAACUGAACCCUGUCAAAUCACCUUCAUCUUUUUUAUGUCAUUUUAAUAAAGUCAAACAUUAUUUCUUUAAAUUGACUUUUUCCUCUUCUGUAAAACCAUGACUGACAUGACAUGGUUUAUAUUCUUAAAGUAGACCUAUGGUGACAUUAACUUCCUGCCAUAUCAGAUAUGCUCUGGUGUGCAAUUUUCUUCAUGGUCAUAUUCAUAUUGAUGUAUAUUUUAUAAAUGUGCACCGUUAUAUAUAUCUUGACGACCAACAGCAUCACGGCUAUUUUUAUUCAGACACUGUGAAAAAUAAACUUUAUAAAAAUAUAUUCAUGCACUAACCACGUUGGCAGCAAGUCCUUAAAGUAAGUUUUUGUUUUUACUAGUAAAAUGUGCAUGUUUAAGUACUCGAGAGACGAGCUCCUUCGGCUUCGACAAAGUCCAAGUGGGAUUAAUCACCCAAACACUCGAGCAAGCGUGUGAUUUUUCCGUCUAUAGUCCGAAAUCCAUCUCUUUAAAAAGAUAAAGAAAUAUUUUUCAUUUUUUUUCCGACUUACAACUUCAUCCGUCUCUUUGCCAUACCUGCCAACAACUACGGUUUUCCCGUAAUGAGUACGGUUUUUGAUAAUCCAGUGGUAAAAACUACGGUUUUCCAUUAAAAAUGAUGGAAUGGAAGCUACGUAGCGAAGCAACUCCACGGGCAGGUGACAACAUAUACGUGAAACAACGAUUGGUUGGUUUACGUAUAAGAACAUCCAUGAUUGGUUGUUUACUAUGAUGAGUCACCAUUGGUUAAGAUUAGGGCAAAACAUUAGGGACAGGCCAAUCAGAGGCAAGAUAGGGCGGGUCAUCAACCAGGAAGGAGGAUCACAACAUAUGACGGCGAGAGAAGAGAAGAGGGAAUUAUCAAGCGGGCGAUUUAUAUAUGAAAAAACUAGUGGAAGAUGGCAGAGGGGUUCUCUUCUUUAGUUUUUUCUUUUAGCAAUGCAGACCACGUUCAGGAAACUACUUGGCCACGUUUGGACAAAUGUAUGCGUCAGGAUAAAACAUUAAUUUGAGUUGUUUACCAUGUAAGGCCAAAUCAUAACUGCUCUCCACAUAGAAGACGUGGAAUACACAUUUAAAAACACACAUGAUUGUGGCAGACAUGUGAUGACUUUUGCUACAGUAUAGCUAAAUAGUCUAAAUGCCAACUUUCCCAGACCUCCAGCUUAUUUUCAGUCUUUUUCAUUAGAUUGAAAUCACAUGCCUGCUUGAGAGAUCAAGAAGGCCUUCAGAGGUUUUCGAUCCGGUGCUAAGCUCAAGGCAAGCAGGUACAGGCACAAACCAUUUGUACCAUCGAUAAUAAUGGGGAACGUCAACUCACUUCAAAAUAAGUCAGAGGAACUUGAGGCUUUGGUGAAGUGUGAUGCAUCUUACCGAGACUGUAGUCUUUCAGGCAUGUGAUUUUUCCGUCUAAAGUCGGAAUUCCGUCUUUUUUAACCUCGGGAAGAAAAAAAAAAUUAUCUUCCCUUUUUCCGUUUUUUUUUCCGACCCUAAAUCAAGAUUCGAGACGUAGUUUAUAUUACGCCCUAGUUGAUUGGUCGAUAUGUUUCUUGUGACCAAUCAGGACAUCUGUUAUGAAUGAUGACGUUAAUAACGUCAUCAUACCGCCAUUUUCCAUAUAUAAACGAUUCGGUUCUCGAGAGAAAGGACGCUUUACGAGUAAAAGAAAUUGAUAAACAUGUCAAAAAUAAGUUUCGAUGGGACUGGAUGGAAAGGGAAAUCACUGAUACUGUUGGGAAGAAGGAAGUUACGACUUUGUUCGGUGAUUUUAUUCGGAAAAUCGAUCGUCCCGGAAAGGUUUUGUGCACGUGGUGUCAUGAUAAUAUUGACUAUGGAUCACGAGGUUUCAAGGCUUUGGAAGUACAUGCGAAACGCCAAAAACAUAUGAAACAACUUGAAGCAAGGAAAACGAACUUUUCACUAGCUGGUACUUUUGGAUGUCAACCGAAAGUGACAUGGAGAGGAAAGAUCCACCCACAACCCACUUCAGUUGCAGACAGGGUUGUUAAUAAUGAGGUAAGCUAAAAAAUAUUUGCUUGCGAAAUACGCAUGUUUGUUUUAAAUAUUAACCAAUUAAUCAGUUCUCCGGAGCAGGCUUUGCCGAGUUCGCAGAGUCUUACGGAUUCCGUCACAUUACCAGUAGCCCAAGAUACCCUCAAGGGCUACUCCUCUCGACAAUGGGUAUAGUCCAGCGCAGCUUCUCAUGGGGAGGAGGCUCCGCACAACAGUGCCUAUCCUUCCUGUUUUGCUAAAUCCUGCUCUUCCUGAUAGUGAAGCUGUUAUGCGGAAAGAAGGGUAGAAGAGGACAAAAGAUGCACAACGCUACAACCUGCGGCAUCGUGCAAUGAAUCUUGACAGACUGAAUCCGGGACAGGACGUGUGGAUCAAGGACCAAAAGAAAGCCGGAGCUAUCAUCGGACGUCACACCACUCCACGAUCGUAUCUGGUGGAAGGACCCCAUGGGUCUAUCAGACGGAACCGUCGUCAUCUCAUCCCUAUGGGAUCCUCGCCGGAGCAGAGUGGCCGUGGUGCAGCAGAGCCGUUCCUGGGGGGCGUCCCGGAACAACCUUCAGCAGAAACAUCGCAGCAGAGUGUUCCAGAACCUCCAUCUACUCCUACUCCUAGAACCAGGUCUGGGAGGGCUGUGGUGAGACCAACUAGGUUGGACCUAUAAUUUUGUUUCCUAUAGACAUUACAGAGACUCUAAUGAAAAAAAAGGAUGUUACUGUAUGUGGGAAAAGACAGAAAAGUGCAAUUGGAGUGUUUUGGAUAUGUUUUCUUGUACUGUAAAUGUUCAAGUCAGUUGCAGGGCUUAGGUUGAGGACAGUACAGGAUUAGUAUAGGAUGGAUGUUUGAGUAUUGAUGUGAAGUGGAUUGUUCUAAGGGUAAAGUAUGUGUGUGUGUUUGAUUGUCUGGUACAGGCUCAUAUAGGAGCAGACCUUCCAACCACGAGGCAGAAUAAUCCUCAAGGUCUGUUGAAUCAAUGGUGGUCUACCCAUUGAUUCUAGAAAGGGGAGAUGUGGUGUGAUUGUAUUAUGGGAGAACUACAGAGUCGACAGGCUAUGACGUCACUGUGUGCGACGGAGCGGGAGACAGUGUGGGAGUGAGUGAGAGAGCGAGACACUUGUUGUGAUUGAGCUAAUAAAAGUAUCCA